CACUAAGUUGUUGAGGCUGGCUUUGAACUCACGAUCCUCCUGCCUCAGCCUCCUGAGUUGCUGGGAUUCCUGGUGUGCACCACCGCCCCUGGUGUGUGGAAUUUUUGUUAAUAGCAGCAGGAACAGACUAAGACAGGUGUGUUCUUCUCUGUUGCUGCAGGGAUCCCUGAGAACAGGUAGCUAGGCCCACAGGUUCUUGCACACAGGAGACAGUGGAGCUUCUGUGUAGGCAGAACCCAGACCUUGCCAGCCCAUGAGCCCCAUUUUGGGCUGAACUUCUGUAACCACCUUCCUGGGUGGCCACCUUCCUGGGUGCCAGCAGUACAGACACAAGCCCCUCUGUAUCUCUGUGACCCCACGGCUACUGGUUUUCCUUUAGCCUCUCUGGACAUGCUUUCCAGUCACCUCUGUCCUCUCCUCUUCUGCAAGAAAAUUGGGUUCUUCAGGGUUUAGUCCUAGCCCCUUGGAGGUCAGUGCACACAUCCUUGGCCACACCUCUCUCCCCUGGUUUCUGUCACCAUCUCUGUUCUGAAGGACCUAAGCUGUGUCCUCAGCUCCGCCUUAUCCUAACUCCAGGCCUGCGUCUACAACUCCCUCUGGGAUAGACUGGUUGUCCCCCAGGACCGCUCACUUCAGUGCUGCCACAACUACCAACCUGCCAUCCUUCCCACCUGGCUCCUUUCUUGCCUUCUGUUCCUGCCAUGGAGGCCAAUGGGGACCCCAGGAGUCCUGCCAGCUCCUGCCCACUCCACGACUCCCCAGUGCUCACUCUGCCUUCUGCCCCUCCCCAACACUUCAGGGGGACUCUGAGUGUCCCACUGCCCUCAUCUGAC
rnacentral:lncRNA from 1 species